rnacentral:rRNA from 1 species
GGGAAUAUUGCACAAUGGGCGCAAGCCUGAUGCAGCAACGCCGCGUGAGGGACGACGGCCUUCGGGUUGUAAACCUCUUUUGGCAGGGAAGAAGCGAAAGUGACGGUACCUGCAGAAAAAGCACCGGCUAACUACGUGCCAGCAGCCGCGGUGAUACGUAGGGUGCAAGCGUUUUCCGGAUUUACUGGGUGUAAAGGGCGCGCAGGCGGGAUAAAAAGUCAGUGGUGAAAUCCUACAGCUUAACUGUAGAACUGCCUUUGAUACUUUUAUUCUUGAGUUCGGGAGAGAGACGGAAUUCCAGGUGUAGUGGUGAAAUACGUAGAUAUCUGGAAGAACACCAGUUGCGAAGGCGGUCUCUUGGUCCGACACUGACGCUGAGGCGCGAAAGCGUGGGGAGCAAACA